AGCGAACGCUGGCGGCAGGCUUAACACAUGCAAGUCGAGCGGGCCUUUCGGGGUCAGCGGCGGACGGGUGAGUAACGCGUGGGAACGUGCCCUCUGGUUCGGAAUAACUCAGGGAAACUUGAGCUAAUACCGGAUACGCCCUUUUGGGGAAAGGCUUGCUGCCGGAGGAUCGGCCCGCGUCUGAUUAGCUAGUUGGUGAGGUAACGGCUCACCAAGGCGACGAUCAGUAGCUGGUCUGAGAGGAUGAUCAGCCACACUGGGACUGAGACACGGCCCAGACCCCUACGGGAGGCAGCAGUGGGGAAUAUUGGACAAUGGGCGCAAGCCUGAUCCAGCCAUGCCGCGUGAGUGAUGAAGGCCUUAGGGUUGUAAAGCUCUUUUAUCCGGGACGAUAAUGACGGUACCGGAGGAAUAAGCCCCGGCUAACUUCGUG
rnacentral:rRNA from 1 species